rnacentral:lncRNA from 1 species
CCGCGCGCUGAGCCAAGCGCUGUCCGCAACGCAUUGAGGUGAACGCGGCUCGGAGCGGCCCUCCGGCAACUGGUUUCUACCCCAGGCAUGGACCUAUUUGCCAAUGUAAUGGGGUGAGGUAAGGAAGAGACAUGAAAAAGCCAAGCAGCAAGCUUGCCCCCUACACUCUGUUCUAGGAAGAGAUGAAAUCUGACCUUACUUGCCUUUUAUAUGCGCAUACUUGUUAUGCCUUUGGGUUACUUUCCUUGGGCAAGUUCCCUGGGAAGCACUGGCCUAGAAGAAGGUGAGCUCCCAGAAGCAUGGGCUGAGAGAUGCCAGCCUCCCACUACCUCAGGCUUUAAAACUACAAAUUAUUGACUGAGAAAGACAGACACCAUGUUCACAGCACCUGGUGUGGCUGCAACCCGGGAAAGACCUUAUUCCUGCAGUGUGUGUGGCAAGAGCUUUCAGUAUAGUGCAGUGCUGCUGAGGCACGAACGUGCCCAUGGUGGUGAUAAGCGUUUCCGCUGUUUGGAGUGUGGCGAACGCUGUGCUCGAGCCUCAGACCUACGUGUGCACAGGUGGACCCAUGCUGGCCAGACCCUCUAUAUCUGCAGUGAGUGUGGCCAGAGCUUCAGUCACAGCAGCCUGCUGGAUCUGCACCUGGGGACACACCGAAGGCGCAGCUCCACCUGCCCUUGCCGCCUCUGUGGCCGUCGCUUCCCUCAUGUCUCUGCACUGCUGCUGCAUCGAGUUCGCCAGCACCCACCUGAGAAACCCCACCGCUGCCCUCUGUGUGCCCGCUCUUUUCGGCAGAGCGCUCUUCCUUUCCACCUGGCACGGGCACACCCCCCUGAGACCACCAUUGCCACUGCCCCUGCUCCCAGCACACUCUAUCACUGUACACAGUGCCCACGGGCCUUCCAUAGCAGUGCAGGGCUGCGGAACCAUUCCCGCAUCCAUGUGGUCCCCAGCCUCAGUGACCCUGGCGCCGAGGCCCAUCGAUGUGGCGUGUGU